rnacentral:misc_RNA from 1 species
AAAGUGCGACAAGUGUCAUGACUUGCAGACACCCGAGAGCUGACAAAUUUCUGAAUGCAAAUUGCAGCCACUUAACCCGGCUAUGUAUUGCAGAGAGUACUACGCUUAUGCGCUUCAUCCAGAGUUUCCAACCACGAAACACUGGGACAUGCGAUUGCGGCAAUCCACACCUUGGUGUGUUCGAUCAAUAUAUUCUAACACUUCGGUGUCUCCGUGAUCGUUAAAAAAAGGAAACCAAAUAGGUUUACCUUGGACAACCAUGAGAAACCAGAAGGUAAGACUUGCUUUUACCUCCUAACCUCUCCUCUUCACCUCUGCAAUGCAGGAGAACCCGCUGAACUUAA